AACGAACGCUGGCGGUGUGCUUAACACAUGCAAGUCGAACGAGAAAGCCCUUCGGGGUAAGUACAGUGACGAACGGGUGAGUAACACGUGGUCAACCUGCCCCUGAGAGCGGGACAACCCGGGGAAACCCGGGCUAAUACCGCAUGAUGCGUCUACACUUAAGUGGAGCCGCCCAUUGGUACCUUCGGCCUCCGCUCUGGGAUGGGCCUGGGCCGGAUUAGCUAGUUGGUUGGGGUAACGGCCCACCAAGGCGACGAUCCGUAGCUGGUCUGAGAGGACGAUCAGCCACACUGGGACUGAGCAACGUCCCAGACUCCUACGGGAGGCAGCAUGGGGGAAUAUUGCACAAUGGGCGAAAGCCUGACGCAGCAACGCCGCGUGGGGGAAGAAGGCCUUCGAGUUGUAAACCCCUUUCAGUAGGGACGAAGCUUCCGAGGUUAAUAGCCUACGGUGUGACGGUACCUACAGAGGAAGCCCCGGCUAACUUCGUGCCAGCAGCCGCGGUAA
rnacentral:rRNA from 1 species